UACGUAGGGUGCAAGCGUUGUCCGGAAUUAUUGGGCGUAAAGAGCUCGUAGGCGGUUUGUCGCGUCUGUUGUGAAAACUCGAGGCUCAACCUCGAGACGCCGAUGGAAACCAUCAGACUAGAGUCCGGAAGAGGAGAGUGGAAUUCCUGGUGUAGCGGUGAAAUGCGCAGAUAUCAGGAAGAACACCCGUGGCUAAGGCGGCUCUCUAGUACGGUACUGACGCUGAGACGCGAAAGCGUGGGGAGCGAACAGG
rnacentral:rRNA from 1 species